rnacentral:rRNA from 1 species
AACUUUCAACAACGGAUCUCUUGGUUCUCGCAUCGAUGAAGAACGCAGCGAAAUGCGAUAAGUAGUGUGAAUUGCAGAAUUCAGUGAAUCAUCGAAUCUUUGAACGCACAUUGCGCCCUCUGGUAUUCCGGAGGGCAUGCCUGUCCGAGCGUCG